AUACGUAGGGGGCAAGCGUUGUCCGGAAUUAUUGGGCGUAAAGCGCGCGCAGGCGGCUGUUUAAGUCUGGUGUUUAAGGCAAGAGCUUAACUCUUGUUCGCAUCGGCAACUGGGCAGCUUGAGUGUAGGAGAGGAAAGUGGAAUUCCACGUGUAGCGGUGAAAUGCGUAGAGAUGUGGAGGAACACCAGUGGCGAAGGCGACUUUCUGGCCUAUAACUGACGCUGAGGCGCGAAAGCGUGGGGGGCAAACAGGAUUAGAUACCCUGGUAGUCCACGCCGUAAACGAUGAAUGCUAGGUGUUAGGGGUUUCGAUACCCGUGGUGCCGAAGUAAACACAUUAAGCAUUCCGCCUGGGGAGUACGUUCGCAAGAAUGAA
rnacentral:rRNA from 1 species